GCGAUUGCGCUGUGCAAGACUUCCGUUUCUGACUAUAGCCUAAUUAAAUAGCUAUCACAAUUAGUAACUGCUAGCUAGCUAGUUUUGCACCUAUAUCGUGUUGUAUACAUAAGGGUAAGAAGACAUGGAUAGAAGGUGCUGGUUGCCGGUUUGUGUGUUCCUGUUGCUGGCACUCCAAGACUCUUCGCAGGAGAGAGUUGAAGGUUUUACAAGAGGGAAGGUUAUUUUACCAUGUAGGUACAAUGCAAUGCCUACUGAAGAGGUCACCAUAUUUUGGCGAUACAAGGAUGACCGUAAUGUCUACAAUCUUGUCAGUGGAAAAUCAGACUUGACACACCAAGACCGUCAGUUCAGAGACAGAACCAUGAUUUUCCCAGAGGAAUGGGCAAAUGGCAACUUCUCUCUCCUACUGACUGAUCUCAAGGACUCUGAUAGUGGGAGUUAUUCAUGUUUCAUACCAAAAGUGAACAUUCUGCAUCAAGUGGAACUUUCUGUUCAAGAGAAACCAACUCCUGAAGUUGGUCCAAAGAGCAGCAGCAUGAGCAUCAAAGGACAGAACCUCAUCCUCUUCCUGUUUCUCCUCCUCAGUCCAGAUCUCCAUUUCCUUUGAUGUACAUCACAUAAAUUGGUCAUUGUACUGCUUAUGAGACUGUUGACAAGUUCUGAGUGGUUAAACUGCUGAAAUACUUAUUUUUUUCCUUUAAUGUAUGUAAUAAGUGACUGCAAACAUCUUGCUUGAACCACCUUCCUAGAGGUGAGUAAAAUAGUUAUUCCAAAUUGAAUGAAGCCAAAGUGUUUACUGAUAGGACCACUGCAACACCUAAUGGGGAUCCUAGUAAAAUACCAAAACAUUUUAGCUUUGCUUUUGUGAACUAAAUGUAAUGCACUUUUAAUAUAUUUGUUCUGAUUUAAAGGCAUAAUGUUUUUUAAAAACCAGGGCCAUCUGUUAAAUCAAAUUGGAAAUAUAAUUGAGUCAAUGUGUCCCUUCUGUCAACAAGAUGCAGCUUUACUUACUAAGAUAUUGAAGUAUUUCCAGAUCAGUUAUUAAUAUUGUACUACCAAAUGGCAUACGUUUUGUUGAUAUCGAACAUGUGCUCCACAGUAAAAACUUAUUUGUUCAGUCAACCUUUCAAUUAGAAAGUAUUUUACUUUGACACCACAGUGUUUUUAAAGGAAACAUUCACUUCCUCAAUGCUCUAUAUUAAAGAGUGUUUCUUUUAGCUUUUUGUAAAGAUAUGGUUUGAUCAUGUUGUUGCAUUGUGUGUUCAGACAGAUGUCUGUUAGGAGGAAGUCAGUUCAGUCUGAAAUAUUUAUCACAGCUCUGUCGAGGAUUGUUCUGUAAGACCAUUUAUUAUUCUUAUGUUAUUAAGUCGCUUUGGAUAAAAGCGUCUGCUAAAUGGCAUAUAUUAUUAUUAUUUAUUUUACAAUAAAUUAAGUGGCUCAUGGA